rnacentral:lncRNA from 10 species
GGAGAGUCAGAUAAUACAGAGAGGCCAUACCAUGAAUUCUUAGUCAUACCUGACCUGGCCACUCCAGGAGCGCCAGAAGAGUUGCUGGAAGCCCACAUAGACAUAUGGUAUAUGAUAACAUUUUUUUUUAAAGAGAUAUAAUUCACAUGUCAUAUGAUUUUCCCUUUUAAAGUGUACAUUUCAAUGGUUUUUGGUAUAUUUACAGUUUUGCAAUCAUCGCCACAGACCAUUUUAGAACAUUUUAUUAACCUAAUAAGAAAGCCUGUACCCAUUUGCAAUCACUCCUGCUUUUUCCUGCAACAUCCCUAGCAACUGAAACUGUCUUUGCAAAAAUUACAGCAAUGAGAAAAUUAUCACAGUGAAAGAGAUCCGACCUAAUUGACUCCAUCUUGCUUCUAAUCUCCAAGCUGCCCUUGUUCAUUCCUGGGCAGAGGCUAAACUAACUUUGGGAGGAAUUCAGCUUAUAACUUAACUUUGAAGCAAAGAUGAAAACAGCCUUUUCCCUUAACACAGCCCCUUCUUGCUUGGGGACCAGACUGCUUGUGUAGCACUAACAAAUUAGCCUCAAGAUUAAUGCUGACAGUCCGGGCGCACAGUGGCUCAGGCCUGUAAUCCCAGCACUUUGGGAGGCCGAGGUGGGCAGAUCACCUGAGGUCAGGAGUUGGAGACCAGCCUGCCCAACAUGGUGAAACCCUGUCUCUACUAAAAUUACAAAAAUUAGCUGGGAGUGGUGGCGGGGGCCUGUAGUCCCAGCUACUCGGGAGGCUGAGGCAGGAGAAUCGCUUGAACCCAGGAGGCGGAGGCUGCAGUGAGCCAAGAUCGUGCCACUGCAUUCCAGCCUGGGCGACAGAGUGAGACUCAGUCUCAAAAGAUUAAUGCAGACAGGCCACGAGAUUUUGAACCUCCCCCAUUGCUCCGAAAGAUAACAUCACUAUUGUAAAACCUAAGAUCAGUGCUCCAGACAUUUUUCACACUGCAUUCUGAUGCACCAGCUGGCCCCACCCAGAUCGGUAAUCUGGCUCAACCAGUUCUGGGAUCUCACCCAGGAACAGAGGACAGGAAGAAAAAUCCCACUUUGACCCCCUAUGAUUUCAUCGCUGACCCAGCCAAUCAGCAUUCCCCACUUCCUGGCCCCCUACACACCAAAUUAUCCUUAAAAAUUCCAGUCUCCAAAUUUUCCAGGAGACUGGUUUGAGUAAUAAUAAAGCUUCUAUCUCUCUUUCACCAAGUUUUUGUAAAUUAAACUCUUCAUUGCAAUUCCCCUGUCUUGAUAAAUCUGCUCUGUCUGCGUAUCAGGCAAGGAGAAGCCAUUGGGUGGUUACACAAGUACUUAUCCACUUUAUGUUUCUAUAAAUUUGCCUGUUCCCUGUUCCGAUUUUUUUUUUUUUUUUUUUUUUUUUGAGACAGGGCCUGGCUCUGUCACCCAGGCUGGAGCACAGUGGCGCAAUCACGGCUCACUGCAGCCUCCACUUCCUGGCCUCUAGCAAUCCUCCUGCCUCAGUACCCUCUACCCCCUUGCCCAGUAGCUGUGACUACUACAGGUGCAGGCCACCAAGUCUGGCUAAUUUUUAUGUAUUUUUUGUAGAGAUGGGGUUUCGCCUUGCUGCCCAGGCUGGUCUCAAACUCCUGAACUCAAGUGAUCAGCCCAUCUAGGCCUCCCAAACUGCUGGGACUAUAGGUGUGAGCCACCGCGCCUGGCCUGAACAUUUCACAUAAAUGUAACCAUACAAUAUGUGGUCUUUUGUGUCUAGUUUAUUUUAUAUAACUUAAGGGAAAGCUUCCUCUUUGCCCUCUGAAGGAUCACUGAAAAAACAACUGAUGAAAGGCAGAUUAAUUGGAGACAAGGCAUAUAAAUUUAUCAACAUGCACGCGGGGGAGUACUGCAGAGUUACCCUAACCUCCCAGUGGGGUAUAGGAGCUUACAUACCAUCUUUUUUUGUUGUUUUUUUGAGACAGGGUCUCACUCUGUCACCCAGGCUGGAGUGCAGUGAUGCAAUCUCGGCUCACUGCAACCUCCACCUCCUAGAUUCAAGCAAUCCUCCUGCCUCAGCCUCCUGAGUAGCUAGGACUACAGGUGUAUGCCACCAUGCCUGGCUACUUUUUGUAGUUUUUGGUAGAGAUAUGGGGUUUCACCCUGUUGGCCAGGCUGGUCUCAAACUGCUGACCUCAAGUGAUCCGCCCGCCUCCGCCUCCCAAAGUGCUGGGAUUACAGGCAUGAGCCACCAUUCUCGGCCCAUACCAUCUUGAGGUUACAAAAUGAAUGGGGACUCAGAGCAUGGCCAAAAACAGAUUAUAGUGGUAAGCAGGUUUUAGUGGCAAGACACCUUAUGGGAGGGGGAAAAGAUGAGGCCUGGCUAGCAUAAGUGGUCUUGUUAGGUAGAUGAAAUCUCACAGGUAGCAGCCCUCAGAAAGAAUUGAUGGUAAAUACUUCUUUUCGACCUUUAAAGGUGUCAGAGCCUCAGUUAAUUGUUCCUAAAUCUAAAGAGAAGCCCCACAUAAGUGAAGAUUUUAUCCACUGAUGCAAAUCUCUCCCACCAAAGACAGCUUUGCAGGGCUACUUCUGUUUGCAAGGCCCUUUGAACAGCUGUCUCAAAAUAUGUCAAAGAAGGAUAUUUUAAGGUGAAAUAUUUUUAUUUCUUUCACUAACGUGUAUAAAUACUUCAUUCCUUUUUUAUUGCCAAAUAAUAUGCACGGACAUAGGACAUUUUAUUUAUAAAGUCAUCGGUGCUGGGUAAGGUGUCAGAGCCCCGCGUCGAAUAGUGGUUGACUCGCCGCUCGCAAUGGCUCACACCUGUAAUCCCAGCACUUUGGGAGGCCAAGGCAGGUGGAUCACCUGAGGUCAGGAUUUCCAAAGUUCCAGACCAGCCUGGCCAACAUGGUGAAAACCCGUCUCUACUAAACAUACAAAAAUUACCCAGGUGUGGUGGUGCGUGGCUGUAAUCCCAGCUACUCGGGAGGCG